rnacentral:lncRNA from 1 species
UAUACAUGUAUGAAGUACUAAAUGUAGACUAUUCACGAAACUAAAAACACAGGUAGAGAGUAAUUUGUGAGACAAAUCUUUUGAGCCUAAUUAAUCUAUGAUUGGACACUAAUUGUUAAAUAAAACAAAAAUGGUACAUAAAUUUUAAUAACCCCGACCAAACACCCCCUAAGAGCAUCCCAAAAGCGAGCAGAACUCCCCGGCUGACGUGGUGACAUAAAACAAUAAAAAAGGAAGAAAGUUGGACAGACACUGAGAAGAUUUGGGAAAUGUGCGAGCUAGAAGACUCAGCACUUAGCUAGUGCGUU